GCUCUUCUGAUCUGGAUUUGACUAUCAGAGGGGAGUGUGAAACACCCCAAAAUGGAAAUCGCCCACAUGCCUGCAGAGCUCACUUAAAUAUACUCCAGAAAUUGGUCAGCUAAAAAUGGCUGUGAGGGAGAGCUGAGAUAGCACUAAACUGUGGGCUUGAAAAUGCUCCUGUGAAUAUCCAGAAAACAAAAACUCUGCUUAGGAGAUGGUAUCUUGGGGCUAGAUCAAUGCCUAUAGAUGUAACAUGACUGGCAGUGCUGUGAAAGAGACUUUUCUGGUUUGCAUACUGGUUCUAGCGCAUGCACUUGUACAGAUCUUCUCCCCUUCUGCACGUAGGAGACUAAUUGAGUAACAUGUCCAGAUGGAGAUGCUUUUUAAUAUAACUGUAAAGCAUUUGCUCUGUACGUGGGAAGUAGUUGAACUAGUAACCUCUUCCUAUGAGUAAUGAGUAGUAUGCUGCUUGUUUUCUGGACAGACUGAUGGUCCACAUAUGGCUGUUAGCUAAUUUAAUAGAGAAAAACUAAGGUUUCAAAGAAUUUUCUUCAUUAGGGCUUCUUUGAUUUCUAUCUUUAUAUUGUCAGAUAAAAAAUAUCCAGAUUGAACUUUUCUGAUCCCUUUGAGACAGACAAAUGGAAGUCACAAUGUGACUCCCUUGCCAUGAGUCUGAAAACAAUCUCCAGAGAAGCGGCCUUCCCUUUUAUUGGGAAACACAAGCCCUGUAUGGCCAGGCCACAGUGCCAGGCUGGCCAGCCCGGGUUAGUCACAAGGCAAGGCACAUGAUGGGUGGCUGCAUACAAGCUUUCUAGAUUUGACAGCUGUGUCCCGGAAAGCAACUUUCUUCAGUGCAUUGAGUCUCUCUAGCAGGGGUCCUGUUCACAAAACAAUCUUAGAAAGCAAGUUUGCUUCUCCCACCAGUUGCUAUUAUGGGAACUGAUUCAUCUCUGGUAGCUGAUGCCCAGCAUGAAUCAAGCUGCUGUUUGAUGAACACCCACGGUGCUGAGAUGUAAACACCUUCCAUUCACUUACUUUGCAUUCUUAUAAGCAUUCAGGUUACUGAGAGAGAUGGUCUACUAACUGUGUACAAAAUUUAUUCUUCCAUUCCCACCUGCAUCUGCUAAAUAAGGAGUUUUUGAAGUGUGACAGUAGUCCACAUAUCAUCUUGUUUGGGCUUCCAGCAUCGAAGUCUUGCCAAGAGCUCGAAGCAUAGCUGCCACAGGUAUUGCUAACAUCCAAGCCCAGGAGAAGUGAAGAUGAGUGAAAAUAUAGUUACCAGGUAUCUACCCCAUUUCAACUCAAGAAGAUGCUGCUACUGUUGGAUCACUGGUGGUACCUAGACAGCUUGGACAUAUCUGUUGUACACUAGACCCAUGAGGAUAGACUGAUCCUAUAAAAGCAAAUGGAUGUGUUGUAUGAGAGCCAAUUUUACUGAAAAUCAUUAAUUUUUAUGUGUUGAUAGCUAAUGAAAUAUUUAUCCUUAUAGAGAGCAGCUUUGAAGUCAUUGCACGUACAAGUGAUAUGUCUCGGCUCCCUGGUAUGCCUUCUGUCGCUUUGCCCUGGGGAGUGACAGGCACACACAACCAGUCACCAGCAACACAGGAGGGGCUCAUGAGUCAUGGUGUCACUUGCGGUAGAACAGGUCUCCAGCUGUUUAUCUUGUCCUAUAGAACCACUUAAGUGCAAUUUACAGUUUUGUAUCACUGUUC